rnacentral:sRNA from 1 species
AGCUCAGUUCAGCCCUUCCACCGUUGUUAAGUCCACAUGCUGGUCAGACCUGCAUUCCAGCCACCGUGAAUAGUCGCGCCUGUUGGUUUCAGCACUCGCUUUAGUUACAUCAUGGAACACGGAAAAUUAUGCUAUCCUGGUAUUGUCUCGCCCUACGUGUCUCAGAAUUUCAUGAAGCGUUCAACCGGGGAAUUAAGACACCCUACGGAGGAUCCUCUCAAAAGUUUUGUGUAAGAGAUGGUUCUAGGUAUAAUUAUGAGAGUAGUGUGAAGUACACACGUAGGAUAUUAAGAAGGUAGCAAUCUCUAUUAUUCAAAGCUAAUCGCUGAUCUCCUAAUAUCUACAGAUAUCAGCGAGCAUUAUAUAGGCGACCACCACGCCCUACAGCCACCUAUGGUGCUGUGUGCUAUGUCCAUCCUUAUUAAUUCUGGUGUGUUCUGUGUUCUUCUAUUGUCACAUAGCUAUUUCCUAAUAUAGAUAUCUCUGUUGCAUCUAUUACAAUUAUCUCUCUUCUUCAAAGGCCUGGUCCCCAGAACUUCUUAUUGCAACAUGUGAAGUUUGUAAUAUAUGCUGUGUAAUUGAUAUUGUAUAAAGUUCACAGAAUUGA